rnacentral:tRNA from 1 species
CGUCAGAUAGCUCAGUGGUCUAGAGCAGUCGCCCGGCAAGCGAAAGACCCGGGUUCGAUUCCCGGUCUAACGA